rnacentral:misc_RNA from 1 species
GACGGGCAGCGGGUCGAUCUGGAACAGGUCGGUGAUGUCCUGGAAGAAGUCGUCCACCUGCUGCCACCUCGCCGGCGACGCCGCCUCCGCGUCGGACGGGCACUCGUCGGGGCUCGCCGCGGGGAACGGCUCCGGCAGCGGCGGCAGCUUCUCCUCGGGGAUGUCCGCCAGGAAGUCCAGCGUCGGCUCCGGGAAGUCGGCCAGCAGGUCGAAGUCAGUGUACAGCGGGGGGAAGUCGCCGCCGAAGCAGUCGUCGUUGGCGAAGAAGGGGUAUGCGUACACGCUGCUCCUGCUGCCGCCGACGCCGGUCGACUCGUCGGUCUCCGCGGCCGGCGCCGGUUUCUUGCAGGUGGCGUCGGCGGCCGCGGAGGACGGAGGGAACGUGCGGAGAACGGAGGUCGGCGAGGCCGCCGCGGCGUGGGACUCCUCGCCGGAGUCGUAGGAGGACGUGGCGGAGGACGACGCGUUCUUGGACGCCGGAGCCGGCGGCGGCUGCGGGAGGCGACCCGCGACCUCGUCGGGGACGGGGACGGGGACCGCCGCGUGCUCGAAGUUGGUGGUGGCGUCGGCCCCGCGGAGCUGGAUGGCGGCCGAGUCGUACACCUUGGCGGCCUCCUCGGCGGUGUCGAAGGUGCCGAGCCAGACGCGCACCCGGCGCCAGGGGUCGCGGAUCUCCGCCGCGUACUUGCCCCACGGCCGCCGCCGCACGCCGCGGAACCGGGGCUCGGCGCCGGCGCCGGCGCCGUCGGACUUCCUCUUCCGCCCCGGGAGGGCCAGCGGCCUGGGCCGCUCCCCCGCGACGGCCCUCGCGGACGCCGCCUCCUCCUUCACCGGCACCGCCCGCUGCAGCCGGAUCUCCUGCACGUAGCGCUUCACCCUCCUGCGCGCGGCCGCGCCCUCCGCCUCGUCGCCGGACGAGUCGGUCGCGUCGUUGUCGUCGCAGAAGACCCGCACCGUCCUGGGCCCCGCCGCCGGCGCGGAAUCCAUCGCCCGGGAAGUGACCUCGACGUGCUCCGUCCGCUUCACCGCCAGGAACAUCUCCUCCUCCAUGGGCCACAUCACUCCGCUCGCAUUUGACUCCGCAACCAAGCUUGGACACCCGACUAAAACCCCUCAAGAAACCCUCUUCCGACGCUUUGGUAUGUGGGGGAUGGCACGGGCACCCGACCUCCUACGCCCCGGAGGUGGAGUGGAGACGCGAGGCACCGGGCUUGGGUGUGGUGGGGGUGGGUGUCUCUGCCGGCAGCACCGCCGCCUGGCCUGCUGCCCUGCGUGGGUGCUUUGAUGCGCUCGCUGUCGCUGUUUGUUGUUGUUGCUGCUGCUGUGCUGGUAGGCUGAGCACCGGGAGUCCGCCCCACUUUUAUAGCAUCCCGGAG